rnacentral:rRNA from 1 species
UACGUAGGGGGCGAGCGUUGUCCGGAGUUACUGGGCGUAAAGCGCACGCAGGCGGUCUGCUAAGUUUGGAGUGACAGUUGGUGGCUUAACUGCCAAAGUGCUUCGAAAACUGACAGACUUGAGGGCUUCAGAGGGACACGGAAUUCCGGGUGGAGUGGUGAAAUGCGUAGAGAUCCGGAGGAACACCAAAGGCGAAGGCAGUGUCCUGGGGAGUACCUGACGCUCAGAAGCGAAAGCAUGGGGAGCGAACAGG